UGGGAUGUAUGCUUGUUAUAGUGUG
rnacentral:piRNA from 1 species